rnacentral:lncRNA from 1 species
CAUUCUUACCUCUCACGACCCCAGAAUACCACAGCUUAAACACAUCUACAUUCCUCGCCUUCGACCCUUUCCACCUAGUCUCCUGGACACACACUAUGUUAACCCCCUUCUUCUGAAGAACCUUCGCCAACUCUAUGGACUGACCCGUCAGAGUGCCUAUGUUCCAUGACCCAAUCCUUAGUCUAUGGGCGUCCGCUACCCUCUUCCCA